UCUGGAUUCCCCCACAAAACAACAUCAUCACCCCUUUUAACAUCCGGGACGUCUGUAACGUCAAUAGCCAGCAUAUCCAUACAAACUUUUCCUACUGUUGGUACUCUCUUUCCAUUUAUUAUUACGGGACAUCCAUUUCUAACUUGAGGAAAUCCAUCACCAUAGCCUAUAGCAACAACGCCUAUAAGCGAAUCACGAGUUGUCACAUAUGCACCACCAUAACCAAUAGGUUGAUCUUUUUCAACGUGCUUUACACAAACAAUAGUAGACAUUAACUUCAUAGCCGGAAUCAACGGUUUAGGUAAUUCAGGAGCCUUAGCGUCGAGAUCAUAUGGAUCAAGUCCGUAUAGCAUAGAGCCAGUGCGUAACCAAUCCAUAUGAAUUGUAUUUAACCAACCCACUACAAUUACUCCACCUCCAGCACUAAGUGGAUCAGGUAAGCAGCCGGCAGCUUUUUCAAAAAUUCUCCAUUGUUUUAAUGUGUAUUCGGACUUUUCAGGGAUAUCCGCGAAUGCAAAGUGAGUGGCUUUGACAAUACCACUAACAUUUUUGUGAUUUUUUAGUAACCGAUAUUUAUCAGCAUAUUCUGCAGGAGUAAAUCCAAGUCGAUUCAUUCCAGAAUCAAGUUUUAAGUGAACUUCAACCGGUUUUUUAAAUGGAUAAUUCAUAAAACUUUUUAACUGUUCUUCACAGUGAAUAGUUAUAGAAAAAUUAUAUUUAUCAAUCAGGCUUAGUUCGUCUUCAUCUGUAAAAAAGCCUUCCAACAAAAGAAUUCUAUUUUGUAUUCCGCUAAGCCGUAACUCCAGAGCUUCUUCAAUGGAUGCGACGCCAAAACCCUCAGCUGAACAAUAUUUAGCAAGGAAUUGAGCAACUUCAACGGCUCCAUGUCCAUAAGCAUUUGCCUUUAAAAUGCAUAAGAUGUGAGCGUCUGGAUUUUUUUCGUCUAGUAAUUCUCUAAUGAGAUUGUAAUUGUAACCAAUAGCGCGCAAAUCGAUAACAGCUCUAGCCCCCCUCAUCGUUAAAAUAGAAAUUGUUUUGUGAUUAGAAUGCAAGCUAGCUGAUCUGUUUGUUUCUCAAAUUCGUUGGUGGAAAAAGCGAUGCUAUAAGUAAUUCAAAUCCUUACUGUUUAUUUAAACAAUUUAUCUAAAUUUUCACAUAUUUCACGCUAAUUUAUAUGCAACCGGAAAUUACAUCUUUAUAGUCCGUGGUGCCUCCGUGGUGUCCGGUGAUCAUAAAUUCGCAUUAGCGUUGCUGAAAUCAG